rnacentral:rRNA from 1 species
AAUAGAUACCCCGGUAGUCCACGCCGUAAACGAUGAGUGCUAAGUGUUAGGGGGUUUCCACCCCUUAGUGCUGCAGCUAACGCACUAAGCACUCCGCCUGGGGAGUACGGUCGCAAGAACUGAAACUCAAAGGAAUUGACGGGGGCCCGCACAAGCGGCGGAGCGUGCGGUUUAAUUUCGACGUAACGCGCAGAACCUUACCAGGACUUGACAUGCACCUGCAGAGCCGUGAAAGCGGUUGGCCUUCGAGGGUGGUGCACAGGUGCUGCAUGGCUGUCGUCAGCUCGUGUCGUGAGAUGUUGGGUUAAGUCCCGCAACGAGCGCAACCCUCGUGGCUAGUUGUCGAUGUUUCUAGCCAGACUGCCGGUAGCAAGCCGGAGGAAGGUGGGGAUGACGUCAAGUCAGCAUGGCCCUUACGUCCUGGGCUACACGCACGCUACAAUGGCCGGGACAAUGGGCAGCCAAACCGCAAGGUGGAGCGAAUCCCGACAAACCCGGGUCUCAGUUCAGAUCGCGGGCUGCAACUCGCCCGCG